rnacentral:rRNA from 1 species
GACGAACGCUGGCGGCGUGCUUAACACAUGCAAGUCGAACGAAGUGGCGAACGGGUGAGUAACGCGUAAUCAACCUGCCCUUCAGUGGGGGACAACAGUUGGAAACGACUGCUAAUACCGCAUACUGAAGGAGGGGAUUGCGUCUGAUUAGCUAGUUGGGGGGGUAACGGCCCACCAAGGCGAAGAUCAGUAGCCGGUCUGAGAGGGUGAACGGCCACAAUGGGACUGAGUCACGGCCCAGACUCCUACGGGAGGCAGCAGGGGGGAAUCUUCCGCAAUGGACGAAAGUCUGACGGAGCAACGCCGCGUGAGUGAUGACGGCUUUCGGGUUGUAAAGAUCUGUUAAUCGGGACGCGGUACCGGAAUAGAAAGCCACGGCUAACUACGUGCCAGCAGCCGCGGUAAUAC